GUGGUGGCAGUCCUGCAGCAAAGGGUCCAUGGAGGAAGGCCCGGGUGUAGAGACGUGGGGCCGACUCCCCGCAAGGCCAGCGCCUCUCACCUCCUCCCCCUUGAACUCCCGUGCAGGCGAGAUGGCCGCGCUCAGACAGCAGCUCCAGGACACUCAGCGGGAGAGAGACCAGCACCUGCAGGAGGUCCGGGAGCUGCGAAGACAGCUCUCAAGGAACAGCUCCGGUGGGGCCGGUCUCAGGCUGCACAGCCUGGGCCUGCUGGCUCUGCCCCUCGCCGCGGCCCUGCUCUGCUGAGAGCAGCGGGAGCAGUGUCCAGGUCUGGGCAGGCAGCAGGAGCCCGUCCCGCUCCCGGGUCAGCAGUGCAAACGUGGGCUCGACCCCUGCCCGCCCCCCUGUGCCGGGCAGCCCCGUGGGACCCGGCCUGAGCUGCUCGCGCACUGCAGACCCGCCCGUGCGUGCUCUUGGACCGCGCGCGGAGCUGGCUCCUGCCCCCGUGGAAGCCCCCGGCACACCGCGUGCGGCGCGUGGACCCCGACGGGGCAACAAGGCCGAGGAGGGAGCCGCACCUCAGCUCAAGCCCUGGAGCAUGGAGGCUGGCCAUGGCCCCUGCCCCGGCUGAGCGCUGCCCUUGGGUGCCUUUCUCUAAUAAACGUCUGUCCGCCACCGCGGCCCAGAAGCCCUUUGCUCCGCCGCGUCGCGGGCCGUGUGCGCGAGCUGCGGGGCAGCCGGGGUGGGUGAGGGGGUCCGGGCAGGGCCCCCCCGGGCGCACAGACCCCGCACGCGGUGC